GUCUCCGUGUGCCGCUCCCAAUCAACCCGCGUUUGCCCCAGCCUCCUAUCGCACGGAAACGGAGUCCUGCUGGGGUCUCCUUAACUGGGGGUUCCAGCGCUUCCGCGCACAACGUGCGCUUACGGACCGUCCGUGGACGUUACUGUGAACAAAACAGCGUGUUCAAAGCAAGUGGCUUGCCUGCCCUGCAUGUUAAAGCAUGGAAUAACAAGGCAUCGACCACUCGGCGGUGCUUUUGUUGGUCUUUCCCUCCCGGUGGRAAUGCGCAGGCGUGCACACUGCCGGCCUUCUGGCCGUUCUGGGUGCCG
rnacentral:rRNA from 1 species